rnacentral:rRNA from 1 species
GGCGGCGUGCCUAAUACAUGCAAGUCGAGCGAACGGACGAGAAGCUUGCUUCUCUGAUGUUAGCGGCGGACGGGUGAGUAACACGUGGAUAACCUACCUAUAAGACUGGGAUAACUUCGGGAAACCGGAGCUAAUACCGGAUAAUAUUUUGAACCGCAUGGUUCAAAAGUGAAAGACGGUCUUGCUGUCACUUAUAGAUGGAUCCGCGCUGCAUUAGCUAGUUGGUAAGGUAACGGCUUACCAAGGCAACGAUGCAUAGCCGACCUGAGAGGGUGAUCGGCCACACUGGAACUGAGACACGGUCCAGACUCCUACGGGAGGCAGCAGUAGGGAAUCUUCCGCAAUGGGCGAAAGCCUGACGGAGCAACGCCGCGUGAGUGAUGAAGGUCUUCGGAUCGUAAAACUCUGUUAUUAGGGAAGAACAUAUGUGUAAGUAACUGUGCACAUCUUGACGGUACCUAAUCAGAAAGCCACGGCUAACUACGUGCCAGCAGCCGCGGUAAUACGUAGGUGGCAAGCGUUAUCCGGAAUUAUUGGGCGUAAAGCGCGCGUAGGCGGUUUUUUAAGUCUGAUGUGAAAGCCCACGGCUCAACCGUGGAGGGUCAUUGGAAACUGGAAAACUUGAGUGCAGAAGAGGAAAGUGGAAUUCCAUGUGUAGCGGUGAAAUGCGCAGAGAUAUGGAGGAACACCAGUGGCGAAGGCGACUUUCUGGUCUGUAACUGACGCUGAUGUGCGAAAGCGUGGGGAUCAAACAGGAUUAGAUACCCUGGUAGUCCACGCCGUAAACGAUGAGUGCUAAGUGUUAGGGGGUUUCCGCCCCUUAGUGCUGCAGCUAACGCAUUAAGCACUCCGCCUGGGGAGUACGACCGCAAGGUUGAAACUCAAAGGAAUUGACGGGGACCCGCACAAGCGGUGGAGCAUGUGGUUUAAUUCGAAGCAACGCGAAGAACCUUACCAAAUCUUGACAUCCUUUGACAACUCUAGAGAUAGAGCCUUCCCCUUCGGGGGACAAAGUGACAGGUGGUGCAUGGUUGUCGUCAGCUCGUGUCGUGAGAUGUUGGGUUAAGUCCCGCAACGAGCGCAACCCUUAAGCUUAGUUGCCAUCAUUAAGUUGGGCACUCUAAGUUGACUGCCGGUGACAAACCGGAGGAAGGUGGGGAUGACGUCAAAUCAUCAUGCCCCUUAUGAUUUGGGCUACACACGUGCUACAAUGGACAAUACAAAGGGCAGCGAAACCGCGAGGUCAAGCAAAUCCCAUAAAGUUGUUCUCAGUUCGGAUUGUAGUCUGCAACUCGACUACAUGAAGCUGGAAUCGCUAGUAAUCGUAGAUCAGCAUGCUACGGUGAAUACGUUCCCGGGUCUUGUACACACCGCCCGUCACACCACGAGAGUUUGUAACACCCGAAGCCGGUGGAGUAACCUUUUAGGAGCUAGCCGUCGAAGGUGGGACAAAUGAUUGGGGUGAAGUCG